rnacentral:rRNA from 1 species
CCUACGGGAGGCAGCAGUGAGGAAUAUUGGUCAAUGGACGCAAGUCUGAACCAGCCAUGCCGCGUGCAGGAAGACGGCUCUAUGAGUUGUAAACUGCUUUUGUGCGAGGGUAAACGCAGAUACGCGUAUCUGUCUGAAAGUAUCGUACGAAUAAGGAUCGGCUAACUCCGUGCCAGCCGCCGCGGUAAUACGGAGGGUUCAAGCGUUAUCCGGAUUUAUUGGGUUUAAAGGGUGCGUAGGCGGUCGGAUAAGUUAGAGGUGAAAUCCCGAGGCUCAACUUCGGAAUUGCCUCUGAUACUGUUCGGCUAGAGAGUAGUAGCGGUAGGCGGAAUGUAUGGUGUAGCGGUGAAAUGCUUAGAGAUCAUACAGAACACCGAUUGCGAAGGCAGCUUACCAAGCUACUUCUGACGUUGAGGCACGAAAGCGUGGGGAGCAAACAGGAUUAGAUACCCCUGUAGUC